rnacentral:rRNA from 1 species
GAUGAACGCUGGCGGCGUGCUUAACACAUGCAAGUCGAACGGAAAGGCUCCUGCUUGCAGGGGUACUCGAGUGGCGAACGGGUGAGUAACACGUGGGUGAUCUGCCCUGCACUUCGGGAUAAGCCUGGGAAACUGGGUCUAAUACCGGAUAGGACGAUGGUUUGGAUGCCAUUGUGGAAAGUUUUUCGGUGUGGGAUGAGCUCGCGGCCUAUCAGCUUGUUGGUGGGGUAAUGGCCUACCAAGGCGUCGACGGGUAGCCGGCCUGAGAGGGUGUACGGCCACAUUGGGACUGAGAUACGGCCCAGACUCCUAUGGGAGGCAGCAGUGGGGAAUAUUGCACAAUGGGCGCAAGCCUGAUGCAGCGACGCCGCGUGGGGGAUGACGGCCUUCGGGUUGUAAACUCCUUUCGCUAGGGACGAAGCGCAAGUGACGGUACCUGGAGAAGAAGCACCGGCUAACUACGUG